rnacentral:rRNA from 1 species
AGCAGUCGCCGCGGUAAUACGGAGGGUGCAAGCGUUAAUCGGAAUUACUGGGCGUAAAGCGCACGCAGGCGGUCUGACAAGUCAGAUGUGAAAUCCCCGGGCUUAACCUGGGAACUGCAUUUGAAACUGUCAGGCUGGAGUCUUGUAGAGGGGGGUGGAAUUCCAGGUGUAGCGGUGAAAUGCGUAGAGAUCUGGAGGAAUACCGGUGGCGAAGGCGGCCCCCUGGACAAAGACUGACGCUCAGGUGCGAAAGCGUGGGGAGCAAACAGGAUUAGAGACCCCGGUAGUCCCUGUCUCUUAUAC